rnacentral:lncRNA from 1 species
ACUUAGGGAGCCCUCGGUGGCCAUCUCUGCCUGGACCAGGGUGGACAUGCCUCUCCUUGGUUUGGGGGACCAGCCCUGACUGGCCCACAGAGCCCAGAUCCAGGCUGGGUCCUAGCAUCGCCCCAUAGCCCUUCUGGAUUGUUACGGGCACGUGUUAGGUAGGCAGCCUGUGCAGACUGGAGGAUGCUGACCACUACCAGCCAGUGGAGCAGCCCCUGCUGGCACCUUCUAGCAGCAGAGCAAAGAGUUAACAAGCACUUAUGGAGCACUUACUGUUUGCCAGAUGCUCAUCCAAGUGUUUGACAUGCACUAACAUAAUUAAUCCUCCCAACCAGCCUAUGAAAUGGACACCAUUACUGUGCUCAUUUUAUAGAUGAUGAAACUGAGGCACAGAGAGGUUGCUCAGCUUGCCCUAGAUACACAGCCAGAGAGUGAUGGAGCCAGGUUUCCCUGAGCUGUGACUUCUGCCCCUAAGUGCUGCAUCAAUGUUACUGUUCUGCUCUAGGUAAAAACCCCACUUCCCCUGGGUACUACUGAAGCCCAGAGGCUUUGGGAGCAGCUCUGGGCCACAGCUCGGGGAGCACAAUGGCUGGGGACUUGGCUCCAGUGGCAGGAGGGGAGCAUGCCACGUCCACUUCUCAGGAAAGCCCUAGAUGCCACCCUCUCCCCUCACCAUGUGCAGGUGUCUGUGAGCCUCUCCCUCGACAGGGUUCUAGGACCCCAUGCCAUGAGACGUCCCAGGUUAGAGGUGAAUGAAAGAGCCAGGUGUGGAGGACCCUGCAGGAGGGUAAGGGAGGCCCUCCCAUGCCCACAGGACCUUGGACCCAUUUUUAGGGGAUGCUGUCCCAAUACUGGGAGGGUGUGUGGCCCAGGAUGCAGGGGCAGGGGGUGGUGGUCCCAUCAUCCCCAGCAGGUCAAAGCCCUCCCUAAG